GUGGAGGUGUAUUCCUUUAGACUUCUUUUGUCUGGGGAGCUCCUUAUUUGGCCUUCUAUCUUAAUUGGCAGCCUUGCUGGGCAAAUUACCCUUGGUUGCAUGCCUCUGAAUAUUUCUUGCCAUUCUCUUCUGGCUUGAAGUGUUUCCAUUGAGAAGUCAGCUGGUUAUCUGUAUUAGGGCUCCCUUGAAUGUUACUUCCUGUUUCUCCCUUGCUGCCUUUAAGAUUCUCUCUUUGUCGUGAAAUUUUGUCAUUUUAAUUAUGAUGU